UGCGAUCUAAUUUAAUGGCUACAGAAUAAUUCUCUCGAGACAGCGCAGAAACCACCACUAGAUCCAGAUGACACGUUAAUAAGAAGACAGAACCUUGUUUCAAAACAUUACAUUCAUCACCCUAAAAGACAAAGACAGACAACAGGUUUUGAAAGACGGUGAAACCUCAUGUUUUCCCUAAUUAAGACCUGAAACAAAAUGUAACAGCUGUGGUUAAAAAUACCCCAUCUUUGCUGCCUUCCACUACAUCAGGAAAAGCUAUUUAUAGACUGACAUGGUCUUUACAUAGAAAGCCUUGGUGACAAUCGUCUCUUUUCCCAGGGAGCUGAAGCACACUGAGCCAUGCAGCACUGCACCUAGAACAGAGAGCUCCAUGACAGCCUUCAGCGCUCGCAUAGCCUGUGUUCCAUAAUUUAAGCAGAAAUGGGAUGGGACUUCAGCAACAACAGCUCCACCCCAUGCCAACUAACUUCUUCCUCCCCCGCAAAGAACGAUGACUACAUCGACUGCCAUUCUACCUGAAAGAGCGUCAGGAAGGGUGUCUUUCCUUUAAAACUCUCUGCAGCUAAAGGGAAAGGAAAUCUGGUUAAAAUAAAAGCCUUAUUUAAUACUUUACAUUUCAAAUGCUUUAACUGGUUUUCCUUCUUUUUCUAUAGCUUUAAUAAAAGGUUAAAAAGCUGUUGAAUGGAAUGUUUGCCAUGGUACUAGUGAGGCUGAGGUUGCUGAAUGCCAAACCCCGAACUUUGUUGAAACCUGUUAAUGUUGGACAGUUUCAGGGUCCUGUUAACAUCUUUGACACUCUGGGCCCACUUAUUCCAUCAAAUUAAUGCAACAUUUUUGGUGUCCCUGAUUAAGCUCAACAGGGCUCAAUCCUAUAGCUUUUUAAUGUGUACAGCUCUCAUUGAAGUCAAUGGGUGGUUUACACAGAAUAAACCCUAGAUGUCUGGGUCUAAGCAGUCACUAUGUGUGAGUCCGGUAUUUGUCAUGAGAUAGAGUAGACUGAAUUAAUUACUUAUAGUCAGUCUUAAAGUGCCCAACUUGGAAUUUAUAAGACCACAGAAACCUAUUACAAUUCAACAGCUGUGUAAAGUGUGUGUGCGCACAUGUCCUCCUCUUGUACCAAGCCUGCAGAACUCAGGUGUUAAUGUCGGGCCAAGUCCAGAUGUAAGCCUCUCACCUUAAAUAUCAAAAAACAAAAAGCUGGAGCCUGUGGACUUUAUCACCAUUAGUUUUAAUGUUAAUCAAGUCAAAGGAUAUUUUGAUCACUUCCUCUUUCCACUUGCUACAGUACUUACAACAGCGCAACAAAUCCUUUCUCUCCAUUUUCUCUAACAAAAUUAACUCGUAGUUACAUUUUUGCUCA